GGGCCCGCACAAGCGGUGGAGCAUGUGGUUUAAUUCGAUGCAACGCGAAGAACCUUACCUGGUCUUGACAUACACAGAAUCUUGUAGAGAUACGAGAGUGCCUUCGGGAAUUGUGAUACAGGUGCUGCAUGGCUGUCGUCAGCUCGUGUCGUGAGGUGUCAGGUUAAGUCCUAUAACGAGCGCAACCCCUGUGGUUAGUUACCAGCGGGUUAAGCCGGGAACUCUAAGGAUACUGCCAGUGACAAACUGGAGGAAGGCGGGGACGACGUCAAGUCAUCAUGGCCCUUACGACCAGGGCUACACACGUGCUACAAUGGUAGGUACAGAGGGCAGCUACACAGCGAUGUGAUGCGAAUCUCAAAAAGCCUAUCGUAGUCCAGAUUGGAGUCUGCAACUCGACUCCAUGAAGUAGGAAUCGCUAGUAAUCG
rnacentral:rRNA from 1 species